rnacentral:lncRNA from 1 species
GCUGAGCCAAGCCUAUUUCUCAUGGAUUCCCAGCUACCAGAGUAGUUUGUUUGGUAUAGUGGUAGCUCCUGCAAAAUUCAGUAGCUCUGCUGGUGUUACAGUUUACACAAGGGACCACGCUGGCAGGGAGACCGCCCUGGGAUGAUGUAAGGAUGGCUUAAAGCUGCAUUUUCACCACCCUCUCUGAAGCCUGCCAAGAACUGUUUGGCCAAAGCUUGGAGCCUGGGCAACAGUCCCUACUUACAGACUCCUUCUAGAAACUCCCCAUAUGAAAUAUAAAGGUUUAUAAAUCUUCACUAUCUUCUUCAUUUGCUACUAUUACAGUUCACAGCUACGUAGCAUAAACUCUGCUGAGCCCUUUGAUAAAAGACCAAGGCAAACUUGGAAUCCAGAAAGGCUUGUUAAAAUUCAUCACUUCAUCGUAAAGUUGUGCUCAUGCUGGUGGAUAUGGAACCCUUCAAAUGAGAAAUAAAAUAAUCAAUUGGACAAGUGAUCUUUUUUAUGUUCCCAGGACAUUUCCCACACAGCUGAAAGUAUUGAAUUUAGUAUAUCUCUAAAAUUCAAAGCUAGUUAACUAUAUUAUGUUCUUAGACUGUUUGUGUUUAUGCAGUAUAAUGGGAGGUCUUUGGUGUCUGUCCUGUUUUAUAGUGUUAAUGUCUUAUGCAGUGAAACAGCUACUGUCUCCUCCUCCAGAGUGGCUGUGUUUCUUCAGAUCAUUAUUUGUUUUUAUAGUUUGGGAUGAAACAACAUAAAACUCUGUCUAUGUGGUACAGCUGCAAAUAAUGCUUCUCUUGCAUGCCUGUAUAUAGAGGAAAAUAAAAAUAUUCUGGGUGCCAUUUCUUCCUGACCCCAGGUAUCUUUAAAUCUCCAAUUAGAGUUUCACCAUCCACGUGUGACAAUGGAGGCUUUGAAAUGCACCUGGAAAUAUAUCUCUCUUUUUUCCUUCCUUCCAUCCUUCCCUCUGACAAGAUUUCAGACUUCUGGAAUCACAUCUGUUCUCUUCUCACCACCUCAAAAAUGCUUCCUGAAGCACCAGCCCAAGCUCACUUUCUGCAACUCAAUGAAACAUCUGUCACCACCACUAGAAACCUUCAAAGUGUGAUGAGGACCUUACAGCACUGGGCCAGCAAAGAAUAACCCUGCUCAAGGCUGGCAGCACACAUUCAGGUUGCUUUAUCAAGGCAUGGUGAUUCUGAAGGGCACUGAAUGCUCUUUGCCAAAGCUUUCUGAGAAAACUAGGUCCAAAAGUGUUGGUGUUAUAUUGAAAUUCC